AUUUAUUGGAGGUGACGCCUGCCCGAUGAUCCCUCUUAACCUAAGUAAUUUUAGGGAAUAAGGAUUCAAUGGCCGCGGUAUUUCUGACCGUGAUAAUGUAGCGAAAUCAAUCGUCACUUAAUUGCUGACCAGUAUGAAAGGUACAACGAAUGUUCCCCUGUCUCCUAAAAAGAAGCUAUGAAAUUGUAGGAGCCGUGCAUAUACGGCUCACUCUCUGUAAGACGAAAAGACCCUAUUGAGCUUUACUAUACUCUCCCUAUCCUUAUAAAAUAACUUAGAAACCCUAACUUUAUUUUUAUUCUAGGGAGAGAGGUAGUUUCGUUGGGGCGACGACCUUCCAAACAGUAACGAAGGUUAACCAAGGUUUUUAUUAGAUAAUAGCCUGACUGUCAGGGCAAUCUCCCGCACAGACACUUCCGUGGGUCUAAGUGAUCCACUCCACUUUAAAAAGAGGGGUGCCAAAACAUAAAAGUUACCAUAGGGAUAACAGCGUAAUUUUACUGAAGAGCUCUUAUCGAUAGUAAAGAUUGCGACCUCGAUGUUGAAUUGUGGUAUCCUGAGGGUGCAGCCGCUCUC
rnacentral:rRNA from 1 species